GUGGGGAAUAUUGGACAAUGGGCGAAAGCCUGAUCCAGCCAUGCCGCGUGUGUGAAGAAGGUCUUCGGAUUGUAAAGCACUUUAAGUUGGGAGGAAGGGCAGUAAGUUAAUACCUUGCUGUUUUGACGUUACCGACAGAAUAAGCACCGGCUAACUUCGUGCCAGCAGCCGCGGUAAUACGAAGGGUGCAAGCGUUAAUCGGAAUUACUGGGCGUAAAGCGCGCGUAGGUGGUUUUGUAAGUUGGAGGUGAAAUCCCCGGGCUCAACCUGGGAACUGCCUGCAAAACUGCAUGACUAGAGUACGGUAGAGGGUAGUGGAAUUUCCUGUGUAGCGGUGAAAUGCGUAGAUAUAGGAAGGAACACCAGUGGCGAAGGCGACUACCUGUACUGAUACUGACACUGAGGUGCGAAAGCGUGGGGAGCAAACAGGAUUAGAUACCCCGGUAGUCC
rnacentral:rRNA from 1 species